GAUGAACGCUAGCGGCAGGCCUAACACAUGCAAGUCGAGGGAGGAGCCUUCGGGCUUCGACCGGCGUACGGGUGCGUAACGCGUAUACAAUCUGCCUUUCACAUAGGGAUAGCCCGAAGAAAUUUGGAUUAAUACCUAAUGGUAUAUAGAUGUGGCAUCACCUUUAUAUUAAAGCUGAGGCGGUGAAAGAUGAGUAUGCGUUCUAUUAGCUAGUUGGAGAGGUAACGGCUCCCCAAGGCGACGAUAGAUAGGGGUUCUGAGAGGGAUAUCCCCCACACUGGUACUGAGAUACGGACCAGACGCCUACGGGAGGCAGCAGUGAGGAAUAUUGGACAAUGGUCGGAAGACUGAUCCAGCCAUGCCGCGUGCAGGAAGACGGCCUUAUGGGUUGUAAACUGCUUUUGCAGGGGAAGAAUAAGGACUACGCGUAGUUUGAUGACGGUACUCUGCGAAUAAGCAUCGGCUAACUCCGUG
rnacentral:rRNA from 1 species